UGGAUUAAGAGCUUGCUCUUAUGAAGUUAGCGGCGGACGGGUGAGUAACACGUGGGUAACCUGCCCAUAAGACUGGGAUAACUCCGGGAAACCGGGGCUAAUACCGGAUAACAUUUUGAACCGCAUGGUUCGAAAUUGAAAGGCGGCUUCGGCUGUCACUUAUGGAUGGACCCGCGUCGCAUUAGCUAGUUGGUGAGGUAACGGCUCACCAAGGCAACGAUGC
rnacentral:rRNA from 1 species